GGUCGCUUCUCGCAGGCGGCGCGCUUGCUGGGUCACAGUGAGGCGGCUCCGCGCAGGCGCAGCCGGGCGGGCGAGGAGCGGGGAAGCUGACUCAGGGCUGCGGCCGGGGUCCUGCGGGGUAGGAGCGCGAGGCCGGCCUGAGGGAGGAGGCCUAGCGACCCAUCCGGCGCCUCCCGCCCCGGGCACCCGCCCGCGGCCGCGCAUCCUGCGGGCCCCAGGAGGCCUCCAUCUCAAAACAACGUGUUUUUAGUGUUGACUCACCUGUGGAGUGGUCUGAGCCUGAAUGCCCGGGGCUGUGGCCACCGAGUGAACGGGCUGUGCUAAGGGGAAUUGCCACCUUGGGAAACCUGUGUAGUUGCGGCUUUUCUGAUUAAGUAUCAAUAAAAGUCUGACCUUGUGAAAAAAGCAAACGUGAGUGGCCCUGCUUAUGUUUCACCUUGCGUUGCUCAGUGAUAGUUCUGCAAAGUCGCAGGAAACCUGGAAUCAUCUAAUUAUCGUGAGUGUUGGCACAUGACAGCCUUCUUGCAAUCAAGAAACUACGUGUGGCCAGGAUCUCAUCCACUAUCACAGUUUCAGCUUUCCCCAAACUGGAAUGUGUCUUUGCAGACGCCCAUCCUUAUUAAAGGGCAAAGACUUCUCAUACACCUAGGAUGGAUCUUAUAUUCUUGGCGGGACUGCAGAGAAGGUGCCGUGUCCUGAGUCCUCAUGUCAGGGCACAGGCUUCCAGCCAGUUCUACCUGGGUUAUGUUUAUCUCAAUUCCCUGGUGGUAUUGGUGUCUGCUGGGUUUUGCCAGAAUGAAGACACCGUGUUUUCAUUUGUCAGUUGAUUCGUAUUUUCCAGGAAGACAUUCUGAGAUUACAGCAUUGUCUUAGUCAAGGUGCUGCAGAAGGACAGAACUAAUAGGAUAUAUGUACAUAUGAAAGAAAGUUUAUGAAGAACUGGCUCACACCAUCACAAGGCAAAGUCCCAUGACAGGCCAUCUGCAAGCUGAGGAGCGAGGAAGCCAGCAGUGGCUCAGCCGGAGUCCAACAGCCUCAAACGGAAUCCAACAGUUCAGGCUUCAGUCUGUGGCCAAAUGCCCAGAGACCCCGGAAAGCUACUGGUGUUAGUCCCAGAGCCGGAAGGCCAAAGAACCUGGAGUGUGAUGUCCAAGGGCAGGAGGAAUGGACAGAAGCAUCCAGCAUGGGGUAAAGACGAAAGCCAGAAGACUCAGCAAGCUAGCUUACCUACUUUCUUCUGCCUGCCUUGUUCUAGCCGCGCUGGCAGCCGGUUGGAGGGUGCCCACCCCCACUGAGGGUGGAUCUUCCUCUCCUAGUCCACUGACUCAAAUUUCAGUCUCUCUGGGAGCACCAUCACACCAGAAACAAUACCAGCCAUCUAGCCACCCUUCAGUUCACCAUCACAACCAUUGUCUUAUUCAUGAAACUUCUGCAGACCCACCUUAACCUCCAUCGGUGACUUCUACCUGAAGCCCUCUGAUUGUUGCCCAGUGGUGCUUUUUAAAAUAAUUUCCAUAGUUUCUUCUACACCUUUAGUUGGCAUUCUACUGUAAAGGAGAGAUUUUAUUUUCUUACUCAUUUAUUUGUUAGUUUAUAGUCACCACCAUAUGGAUGCAGAGUUCUGUCUCAUUCACUGGGAAGUAUUCUAUUGCAGUCAUGAUUUAUUUUGAUGUUCACAUCCCAGAGUUGGUGAGUGAGCGCCCCUUCACGCUGGCUCCCGAGUGCUGACGUGUCCCCGUCCUUCUCUGCACUUUUCCUUACCUCCUGGCCUCAGAUAUUCCAGGGUCAUUUGUUCUCUCCCUGCUCCAACCCUGCAGUCAGCCAUCUCCCUAGGGACGUUGGUUCCUUUAUGGAAGGUGGCAUUUAGAAGCCAGGAUUUGGGCUGAGCACUGUGGCUCAUGCUUGUAAUCCCAGCACUUGGGGAGGCCGAAGUGGGCGGAUCGCUGGAGGCCAAGAGUCUGAGACCAGCCUGGCUAACAUGGUGAAACCCUUCCCCGUCUCUACUACAAAUAAAAAAUUAGCUGGGUGUGUUGGCACGUGCCUGUAAUCCCAGUUACUCAGGAGGCUGAAGCACCAGAAUCUCUUGAACCCAGGAGGCCGAGGUUGCAGUGAGCCAAGAUUGCACCACUGCACUACAGCUUGGGUGACAGCGCGAGACACCGUCUCAAAAAGGAUAAUAAUUUAAAAAACAGCAGGAUUUGGGUGAGCAGUGCGCUCAUUGCUUCUGGGCUCUCUCGGUGGACAUAGGCUAGGAAUGUAAGAUGUAUGUGCCUGUGUAUAUACACACGUCUGUAGCUAUGUCUAUGUUGCAUACAUGUGUUUUUCCAAAAACCAAAUCCAUAACCAUG
rnacentral:lncRNA from 1 species